GUGAUUUAUGUGUCAUUGGUUGGUUAAAGUUGUUAUCUAGCUAGCUAACACAUAAGCAGUCUAAGGUUAGCUGAAAUGUUGUAAAGCUAGAUUACUUAUCCAGCAUGAUUUAUCUUUUUAUUUUAUUUUUUAAAAUGAGCAAACCUAAUAACUGACAUGCUAUGUUUCUUGAUAUUGUUAUAUCAUUAUUGUGAUUUAAAUUGUAUUUAAAACCAAGAAUCGUAAUAUAAAAUCCGCUCAUAGAUGAGGAUCAUUGACUGUACAGUUAUUUUACAGCAAAAAUAAAUAAGUCUGGUAAGGUCUCAAAAAAGUAUCUAGGGCAAAAACAAAGCCAAAUAAUUUAAAUCUGGCCUGCAUCAUUACUAAUGUGUACAUGUUUACAGUCUGAGUGAUAAGUGGGCUAUACAGAGAGUAACAGGUUUUACUUUCACCGUGCAGGCUGAAAUUCAUAGGACUAUAUACGAGGGUAGAAUAUUUCUCUAUGUAUCCAGAUAAAAUUAAAGGUGACCAUGAUGCAGCCAGACUGAAGCAGCACGUUGUGAAGGUGGACACCAUCAUCUUGUCUUUGCAGUGCUGAUUCUGAAGAGAACGCCUUCACAUAGGACUCAAAGGAAAUCAGUGCUUAAAGGAAACAGCAGUCCAGACUCUGAUUCCAGCUCCGAAGAUGCCCUCAGAUUCAGAUCCAUCAACAACCACUGACAACAUGGAGGACUCGUCCCCUGAGCGUUUCCUGUCCUCUCUCGAUGGUCUUCUUCUCUUUAGUCAUUAACUCUUGAAAACAGCAGCACAACAUGCCAGACUGUUUGACAAGUCUGUGAUUGAAUAAAUGGAAAUGGAAUCUCAUGCGUAUCUUGUUAUGCUUAUUGGCUUUAAAUGUUUAAUAUUAAAUAAGUUUGAAGGCCAUUUAUCUCAGACGAGCCUGGCUGUGACAAGCUGAGCUCGUCUGUUAGCUUUGCUGUUGUCUUAGCUGUUGUUGGUCAAGAAGAAAUUAAUGUCAGUUCAAGGCCUUUUCAAAUGUGAGCUAUAAACUUAACUGCUAAAUUAUUUAACUAUUUAAAAAGUCUAUUUAAACAUUUUAUGAAAAAAAAAAACUUCAAUAAACAACCCCUGGCUUCAUUAACCAUGUGGAAAAUAAGUAAGGGAGACCAUCAGGUUGAAUUGCUGGGACAUAGGAGAAAGUAUAACAAACAAUUUAACAAAGAAAUCCAAACAAAAAUCAAAUAAAGUAUAGAGAUCCUGGAUGAUUGUUUGACUGUUAAAAUAUGAUGGAAAAGCAAAUCCAACACAACCCUCCAGCAUCUGGCCUUUCAAACACAGGGCAACAUCAUGGAAAGAAAAAUAGCAGCAU